rnacentral:rRNA from 1 species
CCUACGGGAGGCAGCAGUGGGGACUUUUGGACAAUGGGCGAAAGCCUGAUCCAGCCAUGCCGCGUGCAGGAUGAAGGCCUUCGGGUUGUAAACUGCUUUUGUACGGAACGAAAAGACUCUGGUUAAUACCUGGGGUCCAUGACAGUACCGUAAGAAUAAGCACCGGCUAACUACGUGCCAGCAGCCGCGGUAAUACGUAGGGUGCAAGCGUUAAUCGGAAUUACUGGGCGUAAAGCGUGCGCAGGCGGUUAUAUAAGACAGAUGUGAAAUCCCCGGGCUCAACCUGGGAGCUGCAUUUGUGACUGUAUAGCCAGAGUACGGCAGAGGGGGAUGUAAUUCCGCGUGUAGCAGUGAAAUGCGUAGAUAUGCGGAGGAACACCGAUGGCGAAGGCAAUCCCCUGGGCCUGUACUGGCGCUCAUGCACGAAAGCGUGGGGAGCAAACAGGAUUAGAUACCCUGGUAG